rnacentral:misc_RNA from 1 species
UUCCACGGGCCUCGCCCGCCGAAGCCUUACGCAGCGACUCUAAAUAACUGCUCAGUCGGUGGCGCUGUCCACCGGCCACAUUGUCAUUGCGCUGGAAGCCUCUGCCGGGUUACCAGCGACCCGGGUCUCUAAGAUUCGGGCUCACAGAUCAAACGACGGUGGCCGCCGCCUGGCGGUUUAGAUAUGACCGACUCCCUAGAGGUUCCUUUAGGGAAGUUUUGGUUCCGUAGGUGAACCUGCGGAAGGAUCAUUACUGAGAUAGGGUCUUUCGGGGCCCGACCCUCCCACCCUUUGUGUAUAUACCUCUGUUGCUUCGGCGGAUCCCGCGGUCGCCGUGCUGGCUCGCCACGCACCGAUCACGGCCUGCCAGAGGCCCUUUCAAUUCUGAAUUGUCCCGUGCCGUCUGAAUGAACACGCGAAUAAUCUAAAACUUUCAACAACGGAUCUCUUGGUUCUG